AUGAAGAAAGGCUGUGGAGGAGACAGAUUCUGGAGAAUGCUAUUGGAAUUCCUGGUUUGUGCGUGGAGGGCUGUUGGUCAUUUGGAAAGGAUGUGCCUAUUGGAUAUGACAGGCCAGCUCCCAGAAGCAUCACUGGAUCUGCUCCCAGACUUACUUGUGAUUCAAGGCUGUGAGUCGCCUCUUUGCACAUAAGACAGAAAUGAAUGCUUACGCUCUACUGCCUAUCCAAAUACCUAGCUGCUGCUGCUGAGGGAGAAGAGCAGGAGCGUUGCCUUGAACGUGACCGCCACAUUAAGUCAU
rnacentral:lncRNA from 1 species